CAUCUGAUUAGAACUUUGCACUGGCCA
rnacentral:piRNA from 1 species